UACGUAGGGUGCAAGCGUUGUCCGGAAUUAUUGGGCGUAAAGAGCUCGUAGGCGGUUUGUCGCGUCGAAUGUGAAAACCCGGGGCUCAACCCCGGGCCUGCAUUCGAUACGGGCAGACUAGAGUUCGGUAGGGGAGUCUGGAAUUCCUGGUGUAGCGGUGAAAUGCGCAGAUAUCAGGAGGAACACCGGUGGCGAAGGCGGGGCUCUGGGCCGAUACUGACGCUGAGGCACGAAAGCGUGGGGAGCAAACAGG
rnacentral:rRNA from 1 species